UACGUAGGGGGCAAGCGUUGUCCGGAAUCAUUGGGCGUAAAGCGCGUGUAGGCGGCUUGGUAAGUCCGCUCUGAAAGCCCGGGGCUCAACCCCGGGAGGCGGGUGGAUACUGUCAAGCUCGAGUCCGGAAGAGGCGAGUGGAAUUCCUGGUGUAGCGGUGAAAUGCGCAGAUAUCAGGAGGAACACCAAUGGCGAAGGCAGCUCGCUGGGACGUGACUGACGCUGAGACGCGAAAGCGUGGGGAGCGAACAGG
rnacentral:rRNA from 1 species